rnacentral:rRNA from 1 species
UUGGUCAUUUAGAGGAAGUAAAAGUCGUAACAAGGUUUCCGUAGGUGAACCUGCGGAAGGAUCAUUAUCGAGUUUUGAACGGGUUGUAGCUGGCCUCUCACGAGGCAUGUGCACGCCUGGCUCAUCCACUCUUAACCUCUGUGCACUUUAUGUAAGAGAAAAAAAUGGUGGAAGCUUCCAGGAUCUCGCGAGAGGUCUUCGGUUGAACAAGCCGUUUUUCUUUCUUAUGUUUUACUACAAACGCUUCAGUUAUAGAAUGUCAACUGUGUAUAACACAUUUAUAUACAACUUUCAGCAACGGAUCUCUUGGCUCUCGCAUCGAUGAAGAACGCAGCGAAAUGCGAUAAGUAAUGUGAAUUGCAGAAUUCAGUGAAUCAUCGAAUCUUUGAACGCACCUUGCACUCCUUGGUAUUCCGAGGAGUAUGCCUGUUUGAGUCUCAUGGUAUUCUCAACCCCUAAAUUUUUGUAAUGAAGGUUUAGCGGGCUUGGACUUGGAGGUUGUGUCGGCCCUCGCUGGUCGACUCCUCUGAAAUGCAUUAGCGUGAAUCUUACGGAUCGCCUUCAGUGUGAUAAUUAUCUGCGCUGUGGUGUUGAAGUAUUUAUGGUGUUCAUGCUUCGAACCGUCUCCUUGCCGAGACAAUCAUUUGACAAUCUGAGCUCAAAUCAGGUAGGACUACCCGCUGAACUUAAGCAUAUCAAUAAG